GAAAUGCGAUACGUAAUGCGAAUUGCAGAAUUCAGUGAAUCAUCGAAUCUUUGAACGCAAAUUGCGCUCUCGGGUUACCCCCAAGAGCACACCUCUCUGAGUGUCGGUUUAACCAAAUGUCACCAAUUUAUUGGUGUACGACAGACUGAGGGUAAGGGGUCUUGGCCUCUUUCCCUUUAAAUCUCAGCCUCACGACUGUGUGUGUUCGUGGCAAGUUGCUUUCACUUAAUUGUGAAUACAAUCCACCGACCCUAUGUUUUGAAGCCAAAAGAAACAAAUGAACAAAGGAGUGAGCUUGCGCACUGGCUUUGGACGAUGAACAGGAAACUGUUUGCUGUUUUGAGGUCUGUGUUUGAGCAAACAAAUUUGUGCAUCUAUGAAUUAGACCUCAGAUGAAGUG
rnacentral:misc_RNA from 1 species